CUAUCUUUAUUUAACUCUCCCCCA
rnacentral:siRNA from 1 species